rnacentral:rRNA from 1 species
AGCCACAGCUGUGUCACCCUGCAGCCCAAGACUAGUUACUUACUAAAGCUAAGCAAGCCUGAGCCUGGUCAGUACGUGGAUGGUAGACCACAUGGGAAAACUAGGUUGCUGUUGGAU